rnacentral:rRNA from 1 species
AUUGAAAGCUGGCGGCAGGCCUAACACAUGCAAGUCGAACGAGUGGCGGACGGGUGAGUAACGCCUGGGAAACUGCCUGAUGGAGGGGGAUAACUACUGGAAACGGUAGCUAACACCGCACACCAUCGGAUGUGCCCAGAUGGGAUUAGCUAGUAGGUGGGGUAACGGCUCACCAAGGCGACGAUCCCUAGCUGGUCUGAGAGGAUGACCAGCCACCCUGAGACUGAUACACGGCCCAGACUCCUACGUGAGGCAGCAGUGGGGAAUUUUGGACAAUGGGCGAAAGCCUGAUCCAGCCAUGCCGCGUGUCUGAAGAGGGCCUUCGGGUUGUAAAGGACUUUUGUCAGGGAAGCGGUACCUGAAGAAUAAGCACCGGCUAACUACGUGCCAGCAGCCGCGGUAAUUC